UGAACUUCUGGAAUUACAAUAACUUCUGUUAAUAUGUGUGAUACAGAUUCCUGGAAACUUGAGGAGCAGUCUUCCAGCGGCUGAGGAAUGCAGUUCUCCCCGGAUGUGUGGGUAUCUUGCAUAAAUCGAACUGAAGUGGGAUGGACUGGUAGUAAGAAGCAUGACUUCAUCAAGAGAUUCAGGAAUACUUUGGAGUGAAUUGGCAGGAAGCCUUGCAAUACAACUUUGACAAUAAUAGUCGCUGUCCUCUGGAGAUGUUGAAGCUAAGCUUUCUUGUGAACUUCCUUCUUGCACCUCUCCACAUGUGCACAAAGGACUUAACACUGUUUAGAAUUCGUAUGGUAUAAAAUAAUCAUGGAUAUGCUUUUUUCUUCCUUGACUUGAUGUCUG
rnacentral:lncRNA from 1 species